rnacentral:rRNA from 1 species
UGCUUUAUGUAACCUCCUAUAAAGUAAUCCCUGCCCAGUGAUUCUCAUUAAACGGCCGCGGUAUCCUAACCGUGCAAAGGUAGCAUAAUCACUUGUCUAUUAAUUGUGGACUAGAAUGAAUGGGCCAACGAAAUAAAAGCUGUCUCUAUAAGUAACAUAAAAAUUAAUCUCUAACUGAAGAACGUUAGAUUCCGUCGAAGGACAAGAAGACCCUAUAGAGCUUUAUUUAAUUUAAAAUAAAUUUAAAAAAAAAAAUUCGGUUGGGGCGACCAGGGAAUAUAAAUCAUCCCUUAAAUAAAGAUUAAUUAAUCUAAGUCUUGACCCUUAUAAAAGAUCACAAGAACAAGCUACCUUAGGGAUAACAGGCUAAUUUUACUAAAGAGUCCUUAUCAAUAGUAAAGUUUGGCACCUCGAUGUUGGCUUAGGGAAUCUAUAUGACGCAAAAGUCACAUAAAGAUGGUUUGUUCAACCAAUAACACCCU